UGUUAUCAUUAUUUCUUGUUGAACCUCUGCCUUCCGCCGCUAACAUUGCAGACGACAGAGAGUGAAGCCCAUUCGUACCCUAGAGCCAUCUAGAUUUACGGACUCCAACUUGACGUUGGGGGAGUCCGUCAAAUAGAAAAAAUCGAAAAGACCUUGAAAUUGAAAACUUCUCUCAAAACAUUUCUAAAUUUGCUUCCUGCUGAAUUUGCUUUCUGUUUACAAUUAUUACACAAUGGAUGUCUACUCUACUUUUGUACAAAGUGUCUGAGUUCACAUUUCAGUUGGUGCAAGAUCUAUGAGAAACACCUCAAGUAUCGAGAAACCUCUGAUGAUGAAAGUUCCGACAAGGAAGAUGUUCCCCCUGAUGUUGAAUCCUCUCAGGGGGAAUCGGAUACUUCUGGAGACCUUAAUUCUGGAAACAACACCCAAAAUGAUUCUGAAAGUUCUGAAGGAGAAGGAGAGCGUAAAAGGAAGAAGGCCGAACGUAAAAAGAAAGCCAAAAAGGCCAGGUUGGAAAUUGAAGGAAACAGUACCUCGGACGAGGACAGCGAUCUGUCGAGCGCCUUUUCCGACUGCAGCCUCGACGAGAAUGACGAAGAGUAAAUGGCUAUGGGGAAGAGAAAAGGAGGAGAAAUUCAAGAGUCGAAAAAUUCAGAUUAAAGUGCCUUCAUAUGUGUGUGUUUGUGUUUAAAAAAUAUCUGUGUCUUUCUGUUACCUUCUCUCUUUUUCCAUGUAUCGUACCUUGUCAGCUUUCUUUACUUUCAAAUAAAUCACUUCAUCUCCA